UUCACUUUUGAGAAAAUUAGUUUUUCUUUUUCUCAUCUUCUCUCUUUCCAUUGUCGAUUCAACAGAUUCUUCUAAGUAAUUUCAGGUUUAGAAACACAGAGUUUCAUCGACAUAUCUGAAGAAUCAAUGUCAACGGCGAUGUCGGAGAUGGUGGAUCUGAAGACCCUAGUGUCAACAACGACAUCGGAGGUGGUGGAUCUGAAGACCCUUGUGUCAAUGAUGGCGUCAGAGAUGGUGGUGGAAGUGAAGGACCACCGAAGAUGCUCACACCUUUUACCACCACCACUACGUUUUGAAGCUUCCGCCAGUUCACCACCAAUACAUCUCGGCCGCCGCCGUCGUUUUGUUCUCCGUUGCUCCGCUGCCGCAAUAGUACAUCUCCACCGUCGUUUUGUUCUCCGUUCCAAUAGUUGUAUAGAUAUAUAUUUAUUCUACAUAUAAUAUAAUGAAUUUAAGAAACAAAUAAAAACUAUUAUUAAUUUCUUUUUCUAAUUAAUUUUUUUUUGUUUUUAAUUUUUUUUUAGCAUUUUCCUACAAAUUGUGUAGUCUUUAAUUUGUAGCACUUUGCGACACUUAGUCACGAUGAAAAACUUUGCUACGACCAAAUAGUUACUAACAUUUUUGGUCGCAAAUUUGUAAC